rnacentral:rRNA from 1 species
AUUCCAGCUCCAAUAGCGUAUAUUAAAGUUGUUGCAGUUAAAAAGCUCGUAGUUGGAUUUCUGGUAGGAGCGACCGUGCCGAACUUGAUUGUUCGUGUAUUGUGUUGUCUUCAGCCAUCCUCGUGGAGAACUUUUCUAACAUUAACUUGUUGGGAUUGGGACCCGCGUCGUUUACUGUGAAAAAAUUAGAGUGUUUAAAGCAGGCAUUAGCUUGAAUACAUUAGCAUGGAAUAAUAAGAUAGGACUUUGGUACUAUUUUGUUGGUUUGCAUACCAAAUUAAUGAUCGACAGGAACAGUUUGAGGAUAUUCGUAUGAACAUGUCAGAGGUGAAAUUCUUGGAUUUUGAUCAGACGAACUACUGCGAAAGCAUUAUCAAGGAUGUUUUCAUCG